CGUUCGUGUAUGUCUAUAUAGGCUUAUGUAGGCUAUGUAGGCUUAUGUAGAUCUGUGUAGGGUUGUUUAGGUUUGUGUAGGCCUGUGUAGGCUAAUGUAGGC